AGACCAAAAUGGGAAGGUGGCCAGUAUGAUGGUGAUGACAAGCCUCGAUUGGAGACCCUUCGAUUAGCAAUGGAGUUGGGGGCUGAUUAUAUUGAUGUUGAGCUUAAGGUUGCAAGUGAGUUCAACGAUCUAUACAAGGAAGAAAGCCGGAGAAGUGCAAAGUUAUAGUUUCUUCUCACAACUAUGAGAACACUCCCUCUGCUGAGGACCUCAGCAACCUUGUGGCAAGAAUCCAGGCAGCAGGUGCAGACAUAGUGAAGAUUGCUACAACUGCCUUGGAUAUUACUGAUGUUGCACGGAUGUUCCACAUAACCGUGCAUUCCCAAGUAAGCAGCGUUCCAGUAAUAGCCAUGGUAAUGGGCGAAAGGGGUUUGAUUUCACGGGUUCUUGUGCAAAGUUUGGUGGUUUUCUCACCUUUGGUACACUUGAGUCGGGAGUAGU